GAUGAACGCUAGCUACAGGCUUAACACAUGCAAGUCGAGGGGAAACGGCAUUAAGUGCUUGCACUUUUUGGACGUCGACCGGCGCACGGGUGAGUAACGCGUAUCCAACCUUCCCAUGACUAAGGGAUAACCUGCCGAAAGGCAGACUAAUACCUUAUGGUCUUCACUGACGGCAUCAGAUGUGAAGUAAAGAUUUAUCGGUUAUGGAUGGGGAUGCGUCUGAUUAGCUUGUUGGCGGGGUAACGGCCCACCAAGGCAACGAUCAGUAGGGGUUCUGAGAGGAAGGUCCCCCACAUUGGAACUGAGACACGGUCCAAACUCCUACGGGAGGCAGCAGUGAGGAAUAUUGGUCAAUGGGCGAGAGCCUGAACCAGCCAAGUAGCGUGCAGGAUGACGGCCCUAUGGGUUGUAAACUGCUUUUGUAUGGGGAUAAAGUCAAUCACGUGUGAUUGUUUGCAGGUACCAUACGAAUAAGGACCGGCUAAUUCCGUGCCAGCAGCCGCGGUAAUACGGAAGGUCCGGGCGUUAUCCGGAUUUAUUGGGUUUAAAGGGAGCGUAGGCUGGAGAUUAAGUGUGUUGUGAAAUGUAGGCGCUCAACGUCUGACUUGCAGCGCAUACUGGUUUCCUUGAGUACGCACAACGUUGGCGGAAUUCGUCGUGUAGCGGUGAAAUACUUUAGAUAUGACGAAGAACUCCGAUUGCGAAGGCAGCUGACGGGAGCGCAACUGACGCUUAAGCUCGAAUGUGCGGGUUUUCUAACAGG
rnacentral:rRNA from 1 species